UACGAAGGGUGCAAACGUUGCUCGGAAUUAUUGGGCGUAAAGAGUUCGUAGGUGGUUAUCUAAGUCUGGUGUUAAAGACGGGAGCUCAACUCCCGCAUGGCAUCGGAAACUGGAUGGCUAGAGUGUGGAAGAGGUAACUGGAAUUCCUGGUGUAGCGGUGAAAUGCGCAGAUAUCAGGAGGAACACCUGUGGCGAAAGCGAGUUACUGGUCCAUUACUGACACUGAGGAACGAAAGCCAGGGUAGCAAAAGGG
rnacentral:rRNA from 1 species